AUGGGGUCUCCCAUGGGAUGACAAGCUGUCCCACAUCAUCAUGUGGUGCUUCUUCUGUAUUUUUUUUUUUUUUUGCAGAGGAUUGCAAUUUAGAGCUGAAGAAAGACAGUGAAGAGAUGGGUUCUGGCAUUGCAGAUCUGAAGGAACUGGCUGCAAAAUUGAAGGAAUAUAUUGCAGAGAAUCGUGAGUCUCCCCUCCGAAAUUAUAAAUGCUGGGGAAUUCUUGUGGGAGCUGUGGGAUGAGCUCUUCCUCUCAUCAUGCACUGUUUCUGCUUUUCCUUUGCAGAGAGAAGGAAUGUACCGUUGAAUAAUAUAGCUGCCAAACUGGGUGAGUCCCCCCUCCCAAAUUACAUAAAAAAUGGGGUCUGCCUGUGUGAGCUGUGGGAUGAGAUGUUCCUCCCGUCAUGUGCUGCUUUUCUCUUCCUUUUCCAGAACAUCAAACUAAAGAAUUGGACAAACAGCAUUCACAGUUCUGUAAGUUGCAGUCACUAAACUGAAGGAAUGUGGGGUCUUCCCAAAGUCCUGCAUAUGGGAUGAAAAAUCCCCUCUGACCAUGCACUGCUUUUCUCUUUCUAUUCCAGACAGACACUUUCAGCGUAUGGAUUUAAGUGCUGUAAACCAGAAGAAACUGGUUACAAAAUUGGGUGAGUCCAACCUCCCAAAUUCAAUAAAAAGUAGUCCGACUUUGUGGGAUGAGAUGUUCCUCUCAUCAUGUGCUGCUUUCCUUUUACUUCUCCAGAGGAACACUGUAAUCAGAUGGGUGAGUCUCCCCUCCCAAAUUAAAAAUGUUGGGGUCUUCCUGUGUGAGCUGUGGGAUGAGCUGUUCCUCUCAUCGUGCACUGUUUCUGCUUUUCCUUUGCAGAGAGAAGGAAUGUAAAGUCGGGUGAGUCUUCUUCCCCAACCAUAGAUUCAGGGACUUCCACAGGAUCAGCCAUGGGAUGAUAACCUGAACCUUAUCAUGUGUUUCUUAUUUGUUCCUUUUGCAGAGGCAGCAGCUGUAAAAGUGGGUGAGUCCUCCCUCCCAAAUUAAAUACAAAAGGGGAUCUGCCUGUGUGAGCUGUGGGAUGAGAUGUUCCUCUCAUCACACAUUGUUUUUCUUUUCCAGGGCAACAAGCUAAAGAAUCAGGUGAGUCUUCUUCCCCGUCCCAGAGGACUAUGGGUUUCCCAUGGGAUGACAAGCUGUGCCACCUCCUCAUGAGGUGCUUCUUCUUUCUUUUUUGCAGAGAAACAGAAAUCGGAGCUGAGUAAGUUGCAGUCACUGAAGUGAGGGAAUUGGGGGUCCUUUCAAGGGACUGCGUAUGGGAUGAAAAAUCCCCUCUGACCAUGCACUGCUUUUCUCCUCCUUUGCCAGAGGAGCGCCAUGAGGAGAUGGGUGAGUCUCCCCUCCCAUAUUAAAAUCGUUGGGGUCUUCCUGUGUGAGCUGUGGGAUGAGAUAUUCCUCUCAUCGUGCGGUGCUUUUCUCUCU
ensembl:lncRNA